GAGGAAUGGCAGAGCGGUUGAAUGCGGCGGUCUUGAAAACCGUUGUACCGAGAGGUACCGUGGGUUCGAAUCCUACUUCCUCC
rnacentral:tRNA from 1 species